rnacentral:rRNA from 1 species
AUGCACCGAUAUCAACCACGUCCACGUCUAGCACAUCAGCCGACGACCAGGCCACCCCCUCCUGACCAACCAGGCAGUUCGACGUGGCAGCACCCACAACACUAUGGUCCCACGUUGAGCUUCGUGUUUUCUCCACAACCACAGCAGCACGGUCCCUCGUCGAGCUUCGUGUUUGAGCCAGAGCAGCCGUCACAGCCACCAGUCUUCAUGGCUUAA